rnacentral:sRNA from 1 species
GCAAUUUUAUCAUGUCUUUUUAAACAAUUAAGGAAUGCAGACCUCUGUUGUUUUUUCUU